rfam:Myceliophthora thermophila ATCC 42464 chromosome 5, complete sequence.
AGCCCCUUGGCGCAAUUGGCCGCGCGUCUGACUUCUAUUUAAAAUUAGAGGUAUCAGAAGGUUGUGGGUUCGAGCCCCACAGGGGCUG